UCUAGGAAGAUAAACAGGUAUUAAAAAUCCAAACAAAUUAAAGCACCAAAAAGCCAUAUUAGCCACAGCAAGUGCUCUUCCAGCAUAAAUCCUUUUAUAAGAACCACUGUGCUCUUCUCCAACCUUGGAAAUCUCAUCUCUAAGCCAAUCCACAAUAGUGAAAAUCCUCCUUGAAUUAUAAAUAACAGGAACAAAAGCUCUUAUUGGAGAAGAAAAUCCAUUUGAAAAUGCAACACCUUCCAUAAAAACUUGACUAGCCAAAAGAAAAACAUGUGGUGUAGCUGCUUUAAUACCUUCCUUAUCACCUUCAAAUAUUCCAUGUAAAAUAUAUGCUAUAGGAGCAUAUAGUCCAAUGAUUGCUCCUAUGAAAACAUAAAUUUUAAGGAUCUUGAUUUGUUGAGUGAAAAUUGGUGGUUGUUCUUUUGAAGGGUGAGAUGGAAAAGCAACUUUUGAUAUGAAGCACAUGUAGAUUACUGAGAAGAGUACAAAUCCAAAAUCUUCAGGGCUAACCAUGCCACUGGCUGAUAAGACAACAACAACAGCUAAACAAUUGAGUUGUCGGAAUGAGAGGAAACUAGUCUUUCUUUGUGGUGUGCUUGUUGAUUUGUUGAGUGAUUUGUCUUGUUCUUCUUUGUGUUCAAUUUCUUGUUCUUCUUUUGGUAGGCUAAUGUCACAGCCAGUUGGUCCAACUCCACCAGACAUUUUUGUGUGUAGCUCAAACAACAGAUUUUGUGAUCAGGAUAUUUCUGAGAUGGUUUUUUUGAGAGGGAGAAUUAAGGGAGGAAGUAGAAAGAUAAGGUUACAUUAGAUGAUGGGGUUGAAAUGAAGGACAAAUGGUUGGUAAAGGGGUAAGGCUCGUGUUCGUGGCUUGAGAAACUCACCUAUGUUUUUUUAGUUAGGACAUGUGUGAUUUAUUGAUUAAAAAUUGUGAGUUCCAAGCCUAGAGAUUUGGUGUCACACUAAUUAUAAUUUUGUAUGUACCUCCUAUAAGAAAGGAGUGAGUGUUUGAUUUGAGUAUUCUCUCAACCAUGUGAAUACGUAAUGAAGUUAGUUAUGGAAAAUAGUGAAAUUUUGGAGGGAAC
rnacentral:lncRNA from 1 species